CUACGGGUGGCUGCAGUGAGGAAUCUUGCGCAAUGGGGGAAACCCUGACGCAGCGACGCCGCGUGGGUGAUGAAGGCCUUCGGGUCGUAAAGCCCUGUCGAGAGGGAAGAAUUGCAUUUAGGUUAAUAGCCUAAUUGUUUGACGGUACCUCCAAAGGAAGCACCGGCUAGCUCCGUACCAGCAGCCGCGGUAAUACGGAGGGUGCAAGCGUUGUUCGGAAUCACUGGGCGUAAAGGGCGUGUAGGCGGCUGAGUAAGUCAGGUGUGAAAUCCCUCGGCUCAACCGAGGAAGUGCAUUUGAUACUGCUCAUCUUGAGUACUGGAGAGGGAGAUGGAAUUCCCGGUGUAGAGGUGAAAUUCGUAGAUAUCGGGAGGAACACCAGUGGCGAAGGCGAUCUCCUGGACAGAUACUGACGCUAAGGCGCGAAAGCGUGGGGAGCAAACAGGAUUAGAUACCCUAGUAGUC
rnacentral:rRNA from 1 species